rnacentral:misc_RNA from 1 species
GGAUGUGCUGACAACGGUGGGAGAUGCUUCUUGACAGCUUCCUCAAACUUGCAACGAUGACUCCCGGGAACCCCAUAAAAUAUUCUUGGAGCGCCAAAAUGUAUGUAGGAUAGCAAAUAUAAGUGGUGCUCUUCAAUUCUCCACUGAUUAGACGAAAAACACAUUCCAAAGGAGAGCCGGGGAAGCAAAAUAGAGGAACUGUUACAACUCUCAAAACGGAGAAGAGAAUCUUGAAGCUUAGGGGUAUUGUUCAAGUUCCAACCUGAUUCCAC